rnacentral:misc_RNA from 1 species
CUUUAAGGAAUAUUUCUCUUGUCUAAUUUAGAGUUGAGUAAUACAAAAUGUUUUUCUUUACUCUCAUCUGGAAAUUUAAUUCUCUAUAAUAAACAGAUUACGUAUAUAAAUUACGUAUGAAUCAUUUUUAAGACGUUAAGUUGUGAUAUUUCAUGACAGUAUUUUCUUGGAAGUCUCAAAACCUUUUUUAAAAGUAAUUUUUUUAAUGAUAAAUGACAAAAAAAGCUAAUGAAUUACUGAUACAUUGAGAGUUUUAAUUUUAAAAUUUAAUAG